GGAGGAGUGGCCGAGCGGUCGAAGGCAGCGGUUUUGAAAACGCGCGCCCGACCCCGAAUGCGCUCCUCCG
rnacentral:tRNA from 1 species